UACGUAGAGAGCAAGCGUUGUCCGGAAUCAUUGGGCGUAAAGGGUACGCAGGCGGUCUGUUAAGUCAGAGGUGAAAUCCAACAGCUCAACUGUUGAACUGCCUUUGAUACUGGUAGACUUGAGGAUAAGAGAAGAAACGGAAUUCCUAGUGUAGCGGUGAAAUGCGUAGAUAUUAGGAAGAAUACCGAUGGACGAAAGCAGUUUUCUAACUUAUUCCUGACGCUCAGGUACGAAAGCUAGGGGUAGCAAAACGGG
rnacentral:rRNA from 1 species